rnacentral:misc_RNA from 1 species
GAUAUGCUUAUGGAUCGAGAGGUGCAAAAGCUUUUCACUAAAUGAAAAGUUUUUAAUUAAAUUUAAUUAUUUGUAGGAUUUCGUCGAAAGUGCAAUCUGUCAAGCAUGCUUAAGUUUUUGAAUUUAAAAAUCUCGUCAGUUUUGAAUUUAAAAAUCUCUCGUCAGUCUUACACCUUUCACAUAUUAAUAUUUGAUCAUAGGAAAACUAUUGAGUUUUCUUUUUUGUUUUAUGAAAUCUUAAACAGAAAAAUGUUAGAUUAGUAUUUACAGUUUGUUGUCAACAAGUCAUUAUAUUUGUGAAAUCAUUGUUCUUCUGUUCUAUUUAAGUACUCAUCUCUUACUAUGUAGGUUAUAAGAAAUGAGGCCUUAU